CCAGCCCCUAAUAGCUUCACCCUCAUAAGUGAAUCCAUCCGCUGCAACGUAAGGGUCUCUCAUGAUCUCCUGGCCACCAUCAAAUUACAGCCAUGAGUUUACCCAUUUCAAUGUAUUUAGGUGUUGUUUGGUUCACAUAUUUGUAACGUGAACGUAACUCAUGACGUUUAACCAUGUUUAAGUCCAACCGUAAUCAGAUACCACACUAGGAACUAAUACCGGCCUAUUCAAACUUGAUACCACUAAUACUCUACUGUGAAUCAUUACCGCUGUCAUUUAUGUUACAUUUGAUGAACCAAACAACACCUUAGUGUCGUUAUGUGUCAAAUGACAGUUCUUUACAUUUUAUUAAAAAAAGGACAUGCACUGAAAGCAUCACAAUUUUACCACUGCAAACGUGCAAUGUUUCCACUCAGUAUAAUUAUAGUUGUUCAUCUUUUGCUUCAUUUUUUAAUAGUUUAAUUAGCUAACACUAAAAUUAGUAUACGCUAUAGGUUGACUAAAAUAUUUUAAUGGACCAUAUUUCCAACAACUCAUGCAUAUGAUACUUGAUGAUUGGAUAUCUGAUGAAGAUAGGUGUGCCUAUUGUUUACCUGCAAAAUUGGACAUAUGAAGUACGAUGGGAUGCAAGUCUCAUCUGAUGGAGCUGUGCAUGAAAGUGGUCGUGCUGUCAUUGAAGCUGCCUUCAUUAGUGGCUCAACCACUUUCCACACAUCCACUGUUAGAUCUGGCCUUCGUCUCCUACUUAACUCAGCACAUCUCAAGGCAAUAUGCGCAAGUUGGUUGGCCUGUAUGAAAGGCCAACUUCCAGCAGUGCUAUCGAUGAUGGAAUGCAAAUUUUCUUUCUCAAUGGCAUCUUCCACUAUUUCGGCAAUCCUUUGAGGUUGUUUCCCUGUCAGUAGUCGCAGGAUGAUAAUGCCAAAGGAGUACACAUCAGACCGUGGUGUGAGUUCACCAGUGGUCAGAAAUUCAGGAUCCAUAUAAGAGAAGGUUCCUCUUGGGUUUGUUGUUCGGUAAAGAUUUGUGCUGCAGGUGUUUGUCUGUAUCAACAAUCGAGAAAUUCCAAAAUCUCCUAAUUUGCUAGAAUAAUUGGCAUCAAGAAGAAUGUGGUCUGGCUUUAGAUCACCGUGUACCACAGGGUGAGGUUUGUUUGAAUGAAGAAAAAUGAGAGCAGAACACAUCUCUCCAAUUAUUCGAGUGCGGGUCUGCCAUGUUAGUGGUCGCGUGUUGUUCUUGCAUCCCAAGCAAUCUUCAAGGCUUCCAUUUGGAAAGAACUCGUAUACUAGACCAAAAGCUUCUGGGCAUGUACCAAUCAGCGUGACAAGGUUUGGAUGCCUUACUGUGCUGAGAACAGAAGCCUGCAUUAAGAUUAUCAUACCAAUGCAACUCACACUUCCUUGUAACAGAAAAUGUAGUUUUCAUACAAAAAGAGUGAUUACUUACCUCUUGAUGGAAUUCUGAUUGUCUCUGCAUGCUUUCUGGAUGUAGCAACUUUAUAGCUACUGUUGUAUUGCGGAGGAAACCUUUAUAGACACUUCCGAAACCACCUUCACCAACCUUGAACAUUGGAUUGAAGUCUUGUGUUGCUUGUUGCAGCUCAAUAAGAGAGAACUUGGUGUUUAGGGCUUCAGAUGGUGCAAAAACUCCCAGCCGAUUCUUUUCAUGCAGUUCAGUAGCUUCCCUUAUGGCAGCAUCUCUUUCUUGUUGUAUCCUGUCACAAUCUGCUUGGAGCGCUUCCAGUUGGUGUUUGUUUCUUGCUAGCUCAUCUUCCUUAUCUUUAACAUAUAGCUCAAUCUCACUUAUUCGUUGUUCUAGUGUGACCUUCUGCUCAUUUGCAUUGUAUAGCGCAGCAUAUGCUUCUUCUUGCUGUCUUCUCAUCACAUCAAUCUCCUGCCUCUGUUUUUCAAGCAUUUCCUUGAGUGCCUUCUGCUGCCUUAAUUCGUUCAUAUACGAUUUUUCUAAUUCUUUGCUCUGCAAGAAUACAUGUGAUUUCAUUAAUAAACAAACAUUCAAUCUGGAUUCUGGACUAGCAUAGCGAAUGAGCAAAUCCUGUACCUUUUGAAGAGCUGAUUGCAGUUCUCUUUCAGCAUUUUGCUGUUUAUUGCAUUCUUCUUGCACUUCUUUUUCUAGAAGCUGUAUUUUAGUGAGAGUUUCCUUAAGUUUGUCCUGAGCCAUUAAAUUUGAUGUAUCAGAACCUAUAUGCCAUUUAGGACUGAGAUAAUCCCCAUUGAGAACAAUAGCACACAGUACAUACCAGGUCAUGUGGUGUUGGUGAAAUAUGGUCGUAUGAAUUGUUAGUUGAAAGAUGCAUAUUUGAUGCAACUUCACUUAUGUUAUCGUUAUCAACCACUGCUGUUCUAGAGAUACUGGCUGCCCCAUCAUUUGGUGGACAACUGGAAUCAGAGUUCUGCGUCUGCGAUCUGCCUGAGUCAACAGUGAAGUCCUCUAAACUCCGUAGUCUCCUUGGCUUGCCUUUGAAAGUGGACUCAACAUCUUCAAAUGAUUGAAGCAGUGUAUCACCAGCAUUUUCAUAUAGAGAGCAAGGUACAUCUGUUCUUGAUUCUCCCAUAUCGUUCGCCAUACUUAAAUUUGAGCUUGAUGCUUUGUCCUUUGAAUUGUGGAUCAUCAUUGAUCUCAUUUGGCUAGAAAUGUUGAAUACUGGUAAUGGUGCUGUGUUUUGUGAUGAUGGUACUGUAGGUGUAUCUGCAUUGCCGCCCCUGUCAAAGUGACAGUUAACAAUCACAAUUAUUGUUAUAUCCUACAAGGUACUAUACUUGUCCGAAAAAGAGGCUGAUAGCACACUGUAAUUUGCUGAUGUAGAUUAAUGAUGAAUCACUAUAUAUCCUAAACAGCUAGAUACAGAUAGAUAGCACUACCGAGAAAAGAGCAACGUAAUUAAUUUAGGUGCCUUACUACCAACCCAUCUCAACCUUACUUGACAACAAUUAGAGAUCCUUUGCAAGUAAACCAUAUCUUGCAUGGUGAAGCUGCUCCUUCCAUUAUCUUCAAUGCUGUAUUGGACGUUGGUGCUUUCAUUGUCCUAUGAUUUGAUAACAUUUGUUAGGUUGUCAAUUAAAGGAACUAUACUUAGCAAAUCUUUUCUUACUCUUUGUGCUCGAAGUUCAUAAGAUUAUUUUUUUGAAAUAAAUGGGAACCUGCACAUCAGUUUUCAACUUUCAUAACCAUAGAACUUUUGGAGUACUUUGAAUGCUAGAUUUUAAACAUUGAGCUAUCAGGGAACUGUCUGACCAUCCACAUUUCUAUAGUUGACAAAUCGUUCUUUACUAUAUGAGAAGCUACUCUUGCAGUUUUGAUUACUCAACUGCUAGAUUUUAAGAAACUUAUCAUAAUUUGGAUAAACAUCAUCCCUUGAUCCUUUAAUGGCUAGAGUCCUCUAUUGUCGACAAAUGACAGAUGCUAGAACUAGAAAUUUGAGACACUAUAGAUGCUUGAGCCAUACUUUGAAUAUUUUUUAUCUGAUGCGGCUCCCACGACAAGCUUUUUGAUCCCAUGUAAAGAAAUAAGAUUGAUGACCCCAUUAGCUAUGUCGUCAUUUUGAAUAGCUACUAUGUCGCAAUUAACCUGGCACAGGAAAAUUUGGAUGAUCAUUAUGCAAUAUUGGGAUAUAUGUUCCUCAUCUCUUAAGAUUUCAUUCCUGUUCUUGUUCUCAAAAAAAGGGAAAAUAAUUUAGAUUGAAUUAACAAUGACAAAUAAGAGAACGUAAACAAACACCUUCAAUCGCCUGCAUAUCAAAACAUAUUCGUUUAGUUUUUUCUCCAUCUUUUCUCGCUCAUGCUGCCUGUAUGCACGGAGUUCUUGUGGUCUCAUUGUGCUGUAAUGAACACUUGCCCCUAGCCCCACUGGGAAAACAUGAAAUAUGUUUGAGCUGGAAAAUAUAAUAGACUAUGAAGUUUCUUUGUACCAUGAAACAAACUUUAGUGUAGGAACACAACAUGGAGUACCUCAUGACAAAAUUUCGUGCAUAAAAUAUUAAUUUGCCUAUAAUCAGACAGGUUAAUCUCUUCGGGCACAGUUGAGCAGUUGGCUACAAAAAAUGGUUAAAAAGGAUUAAGUUUAUGUUUGGCCUAUCAACUCUCACCUUUCUAUAAUUUUAACUCCUAACUACAAGAUUGGGUCAUUUCUCAUUUGGGCAACUCAACUAUCAAAGCCAUUCAAUUUUGAUCCUAGACUCAUCUAAAAACUAAUCAAACUAGCUCGGGGGUCAAAACUAUAUGUUUUGAUAGUUGGCGUGCCAACAAUACCUUUUUUUAGUUUAGGAUCAAAAUUAGACAAACACAAAUAUUAAGAAGCUAUCCUAUCGGUGUGGAGAAACAGAGAUGGAAACCUUACAAAACCUGAUACCAUGUGAGAUGUUUAACUUUCCUUGUAAAUAUUUGAGAGUUCUCAUAUUCUUGAAGAAGCUACCUAAGUGUAAGGAAAAUGAACCGCCGUCCAAAUUGUUAGUGAUUUUAGUGUGAUGAUCAACAUAAACUUUUGGACUAAUACGUUGGCUAGUGUUUAUAGUUCAAAGUAUGCAGAGUGGACUUGGACUGAGCUAUGGAGAGCAACACCUUAAAGAAGACAUUAGAGCAUCUCCAACAAUGCCUCAAACUAGUGCCUCAAAUUGAAAUAUGGGCUCUACACAGGAAAAACCACUCCAACAAUGCCUUAUUUUAUAAAAUUUUGUCAAAAAACUAUAGGACUCUCUCAAGUGCCUCAAAUAUAUUACACCGUAGUGAGCUGCCCUAUAAUCAAGAUUUGGGGCUUUACUGUUGGAGCGAGGUGUUUUGUUGGUGCCCUAAAUUCUAUAAAGUAUAUUUAUUUUUAAAUUAUAGGACAUUUUUAUAAAUCACGUUGUUGGAGAUGCUCUUAGAAGACUCAUUAAAGACUUACCAACGUUACGCAAAAAUCCAAGACACAAGACAAGAAAAGCCCAAAAAAGAAACUUAGAAAAAAGAAAUUCUGGCUACAUAGAGGUGCACCGUACCGGCCGGUGGGACCUAUGAACAGAAUGAAGACUAGCUAAAGACUGGAGCACGUGGCAUACCAGACCUGAUCCGGCGCAUCGGACGCACAGCUCCAAGGUCGAUAAUGGCUAUCCUUGGACCUAGUGUGGUGUACACUGGUGGCUCACCGGACCGGUCCAGUGUGUUGUUAGAAAGUUGCUAGCCUCCAAUGGCUAGCUGCCCAACUUGCUGGUUUAUUUAGCCAUGGCUCUGGAUCUAUCUAAGGGUGUGUUUUGGUUGGAUGUAUAAGGAAGGAUGGAAUGAUGCAGCCAUAAUUUCUAUAUUGUUUGAAUGAGAGUCAUGUGAGGACGAGGUGAACACCAAAGUAAUUUUUUGUGGCGGCGUGAUCCUAAAAAAUCGAGGGGACGGUGUCGCUCUCGCCUCAUCCUAUUUUAACCUAUUUUAACGUCAAACCAAACAUAUCCUAAAUGAACUGUUGAGGCUAUUGAUAAGGUUAGAAAAUACUUUUAACGGAGAGACCGGAAGGAAGCUAAAGGCGGGGCAUUGAGUGGUGGCAUGGGGAAAAGUGUGCAAACUGCUGGAACUUAGAGGAUUGGGAAUUGGCGAAUUGCUAGUCUCCAGGAGAUGGCCUGGGCUCUAAUAAUGCAAUUGUUAUGGCUAGAACAUACUAAACCCAAUGGGCCAUGGACGCUCUGCCCAUAAAUGUGCCUGAAAAAGUUACAAUUUUUCAGAGAGGAAGUUAUGGAACCUAAAACGAAAUUAGUUGGAGAAUUCGCUGUUUACCUUGAGGCAGAAAAAAGAGCGGUGUUCCUGGCUAGCUGAGUUACUUACUGGUUAUCAUCUGGGCAGGAACGUGGACAUGAGCAAUGGCAAUCCGGGAGCUGGAGGCGUCCCUGGCCAAGUUGUGCAGCGCCCACAGCAAGUUGCUCUUGCCGUGCUUGAGUUCUUCGGGGACAGCAAC
rnacentral:lncRNA from 1 species